ACGAAAAUGGAAAUUCGAAUGUCGUGUGGAUGGCCGACUUUCCGAUCGAACGGGUCGAGAGUUCGUCGAAUACGUGGACGACUAAUGACCGUCUACGGCGGCGCCACUUUAACGGGGACGAGAAAAACGGCAGGGACGGGGAUAAAGGAUAAA